AUGCACAUGUACAGCCACCUGGACCCAUGGACACCAUCUGGACAAAAUGAGUGCAUGUGUAUGGCUGUUGGUCUGCACCGCACAUGGAAGAGUGGAGGGCUUGCGAUGGAGAAUGAUGAGGAGGGGUGCGCCCCCUCAACCGCCGAUGUCGCAGACUUUGAGGUUGCUGCCUGCGGGGAAAACAGCAUGCCCAAGAUCCCCGACGCAACGGACGAGAUCGAGGUCCUUUGCACAGCGAAGGGCAACUUGGAGGAGCGGCAGCUGCAGACCACGCAUCUCCCGCACACGCCGACACGCUAG
rnacentral:rRNA from 1 species